CCUACGGGGUGCUGCAGUGGGGAAUAUUGGACAAUGGGCGAAAGCCUGAUCCAGCCAUGCCGCGUGUGUGAAGAAGGCCUUCGGGUUGUAAAGCACUUUCAGUGGGGAAGAAAGCCUUGGGGCUAAUACCCUCGAGGAAGGACAUCACCCACAGAAGAAGCACCGGCUAACUCCGUGCCAGCAGCCGCGGUAAUACGGAGGGUGCGAGCGUUAAUCGGAAUUACUGGGCGUAAAGCGCGCGUAGGCGGUCUGAUAAGCCGGUUGUGAAAGCCCCGGGCUCAACCUGGGAACGGCAUCCGGAACUGUCAGGCUAGAGUGCAGGAGAGGAAGGUAGAAUUCCCGGUGUAGCGGUGAAAUGCGUAGAGAUCGGGAGGAAUACCAGUGGCGAAGGCGGCCUUCUGGACUGACACUGACGCUGAGGUGCGAAAGCGUGGGUAGCAAACAGGAUUAGAUCCCCAGUAGUC
rnacentral:rRNA from 1 species